GCGAAGCGGUGACGUGGAGCAAACCUCAGAAAGCCAAUCUCAGUUCGGAUUGUAGGCUGCAACUCGCCUACAUGAAGUUGGAAUCGCUAGUAAUCGCGAAUCAGAAUGUCGCGGUGAAUACGUUCCCGGGUCUUGUACACACCGCCCGUCACACCACGAGAGUUGGGAAUACCCGAAGCCUGUGAGCCAACUGAAAAGAGGCAGCAGUCGAAGGUAGAAUCAAUGAUUGGGGUGAAGUCGUAACAAGGUACC
rnacentral:rRNA from 1 species